rnacentral:lncRNA from 1 species
UGCCGCAGCCCCGGGAGGAUGUGCCAGGCUCCGCUCGGCUCCGGGAGAACAAAUUCUCGCUUCUCCAGGAGGAGCUGGGCUCCGGCACCAGCUGGGGAGCAAAACCCCAAAUCCACGGGCCGAUCCAGAGGGUGCCGGGGCGGCCGCGGGAACAGCUUGGGAUGAGAGCGGGGCCGUGGGAGGCUGGAGGGGACCCGCGGGUGCCAAAAUCCCCUCGGCUCCACCUGGCACCGCUUGGCAGCUCCCGUCUGGAAGCGCCGAGGGCGAUGCCAGGCUCGGCAGAUGUUGCCCGCGGAUCCGAGCAGGCUGAGCCAUCCCCGCGACACCUCCGGCUGCUUCUUGCUGGGGCUUUGAGGAGUUCUGUUGGGUUUUAUUUAAUUAUUUUUUAUUUUUUUGGGGUGCGAUUUAGAGAACUCAGCAGCCGCCGCUUGGCCGCGUUUGAUCAGGAGCAGAAUUUCCGGGCCCUUCAGCUGUGGCAGGCUCGGAGCCGCGCGGUGCCAAAAGGGCUCUGCUUGUCCCCGUCUCCGGUGGCCGUGCUGGUGACACAAAGGCCCCUCUGUGCCGCCGUGAGGGCGCGGCCUGGGCGAAUAUUGCUGGAUAGACUGGGCGAGGGCACAAAGCCCCGCUGUCCGUGCCAGCUCCGGGAGGGCGCCCGCAUUCCCCAUCCGUGACUGUGCCACUGUUCCCAUCCCAACCCCAAUCCGUGACUGUGCCACUGUUCCCAUUACAACCCCGAUCCGUGACUGUGCCACUGUUCCCAUUCCAAGCCUGAUCCGUGACUGUUCCCACCCCAAUCCCAUCCGUGACUGUGCCACUGUUCCCACCCCAAUCCCAUCUGUGCCUGUCCCACUGUUCCUGUCCCAGCCCCGACCCUUGACUGUUCCCACUGUUCCCAUUCCAACCCUGAUCCAUGAUGGUUCCCACCCCAAUCCCAUCCGUAACUGUGCCACUCUUCCCAUUCCAACCCUUAUCCGUGACUGUUCCCAUCCCAACUCCAAUCUGACUGUGCCACUGUUNNNNNNNNNNGUUCCCACCCCAAUCCCAUCCGUGACUGUGCCACUGUUCCUGUCCCAACCCUGAUCUGUGCCUGUCCCACUGUUCCCACACCAACCCCAAUCCGUGACUGUGCCACUGUUCCCACCCCAAACCCCGUUCCAUGACUGUUCCCAUCCCAUCCCCAACCCGUAACUGUUCCCACUGCUCCCAUUCCAACCCCAACCCGUGACUGUUCCCACUGUUCCUAUUCCAACCCUGAUCCGUGACUGUCCCGCUGUUCUUGUCCCAACCCCGAUCUGUGCCUGUCCCACUGUUCCCACCCCAAUCCCAUCCAUGCCUGUCCCACUGUUCCUGUCCCAGCCCUGAUCUGUGACUAUUCCCAACCCAAAUGGAUCAGGAACAAAAUGGGAAUGGAGGAGGGAUGGAGCGGGGAUGGAGCAGGGAUGGGGCAGGGAUGGAGCAGGGAUGGAGCAGAGACGGAGCAGGGAUGGAGCCAGGAUGGAGCCGGGAUGGAGCAGGGAUUUAUCCCGGGAUGGAGCAGGGACGGAGUAAGGAUGGAGCAGGGAUUUAUCCCGGGAUAAACCCGCGUGCUGGAGCUGCCCUCGGCUCCUUCCCCCACCCCGCGGCAUAACACAAAAUGGCAUUUAUAGAAUGGAUUCU